UACGUAGGGCGCAAGCGUUAUCCGGAAUUAUUGGGCGUAAAGAGCUCGUAGGCGGUUUGUCGCGUCUGCCGUGAAAGUCCGGGGCUCAACUCCGGAUCUGCGGUGGGUACGGGCAGACUAGAGUGAUGUAGGGGAGACUGGAAUUCCUGGUGUAGCGGUGAAAUGCGCAGAUAUCAGGAGGAACACCGGUGGCGAAGGCGGGUCUCUGGGCCGAUACUGACGCUGAGGAGCGAAAGCCAGGGGAGCGAACGGG
rnacentral:rRNA from 1 species